rnacentral:rRNA from 1 species
AACGAACGCUGGCGGCAGGCUUAACACAUGCAAGUCGAACGGGUGUCGCAAGACAUCAGUGGCAGACGGGUGAGUAACACGUGGGAACCUUCCUAGGGGUACGGAACAACUCAGGGAAACUUGGGCUAAUACCGUAUGAUGCAGAGAUGCCAAAGAUUUAUCGCCUUGGGAUAAGCCCGCGUCAGAUUAGGUAGUUGGUGGGGUAACGGCCUACCAAGCCUGCGAUCUGUAGCUGGUCUGAGAGGACGAUCAGCCACACUGGGACUGAGACACGGCCCAGACUCCUACGGGAGGCAGCAGUGGGGAAUCUUGCGCAAUGGGCGAAAGCCUGACGCAGCCAUGCCGCGUGAAUGAUGAAGGUCUUAGGAUUGUAAAGUUCUUUCGCCCGUGACGAUGAUGACGGUAACGGGAGAAGAAGCCCCGGCUAACUUCGUGCCAGCAGCCGCGGUAAUACGAAGGGGGCUAGCGUUGUUCGGAAUUACUGGGCGUAAAGCGCGCGUAGGCGGUUUUGCAAGCCAGAGGUGAAAUGCCUGAGCUCAACUUAGGAAUUGCCUUUGGGACUGCGAGGCUUUGAGGACGGGAGAGGUGAGUGGAAUUCCCAGUGUAGAGGUGAAAUUCGU